rnacentral:rRNA from 1 species
GACGAACGCUGGCGGCGUGCUUAACACGUGCAAGUCGAACGAUGAAGAAGAGACACGCGCACUUCGGUUCAAAUUUCACUUCGGAUUAGUGGCAGACGGGUGAGUAACGCGUGAGCAACCUACCUCUUACAAAGGGAUAGCCUCGGGAAACCGUGAUUAAUACCAUAUGACACAUUCAUAAGGCAUCUUAAGAAUGUUAAAGCUACGGCGGUAAGAGAUGGGCUCGCGUCCCAUUAGCUAGUUGGUGAGGUAACGGCCCACCAAGGCGACGAUGGGUAACCGGCCUGAGAGGGUGAACGGUCACAUUGGAACUGAGACACGGUCCAAACUCCUACGGGAGGCAGCAGUGGGGAAUAUUGCACAAUGGAGGGAACUCUGAUGCAGCGACGCCGCGUGAGCGAUGAAGGAAUUCGUUUCGUAAAGCUCUGUUCUAUGGGAAGAAAAGGACUGUACCAUAGGAGAAAGCCCCGGCUAAAUACGUG